CCUUCCGUAUUGCGGGACCAGGCGCGAGCCUGGUUCCUCAAUACGGUUGGUCACAUGAAGGUAUCAAAUCCUGAAUCCAUAGGGGUUUGAAGCGAACCCGGGGAACUGAAACAUCUCAGUACCCGGAGGAAAGGACAUCAACGAGACUCCGUCAGUAGUGGCGAGCGAACGCGGAUCAGGCCAGUGCCUGUGUUGAGUUUACCGGAACGGUCUGGAAAGGCCGGCGCGAUGGGUGACAGCCCCGUACGGGACGGACGACACACAGGACUCGAGUAGGGCGGGACACGUGAAAUCCUGUCUGAACAUGGGGGGACCACCCUCCAAGCCUAAGUACUCCUCAGCGACCGAUAGCGAACCAGUACCGUGAGGGAAAGGUGAAAAGCACCCCGACGAGGGGAGUGAAACAGCACCUGAAACCGGAUGCUUACAAACAGUGGGAGCCCAAGGUUCGUCCUGGGUGACCGCGUACCUUUUGUAUAAUGGGUCAGCGACUUAAAGUUACGAGCGAGCUUAAGCCGAUAGGUGGAGGCGCAGCGAAAGCGAGUCUGAACAGGGCGUUCAGUUCGUGGCUUUAGACCCGAAACCGAGUGAUCUAGCCAUGUGCAGGAUGAAGGUGGGGUAACACCCACUGGAGGUCCGAACCAGUGCCCGUUGAAAAGGUCUUGGAUGACGUGUGGCUAGGGGUGAAAGGCCAAUCAAACUCGGAAAUAGCUGGUUGUCCCCGAAAGCUAUUUAGGUAGCGCCUCGAGUGAAUACCUCACGGGGUAGAGCACUGGAUGGGCUAGGGCCGCCCACAGCGGUACCAAACCCAACCAAACUCCGAAUACGUGAGAGUACUGCUCGGGAGACACACGGCGGGUGCUAACGUCCGUCGUGGAGAGGGAAACAACCCUGACCGACAGCUAAGGCCCCCAAUUCGUGGCUAAGUGGGAAAGGAUGUGGGACUCCCAAAACAACCAGGAGGUUGGCUUAGAAGCAGCCAUCCUUUAAAGAAAGCGUAACAGCUCACUGGUCUAAAUAAGGGGUCCUGCGCCGAAAAUGUAACGGGGCUCAAGCCACGAGCCGAAGCUUCGGAUGCACUCCUUCGGGGGUGCGUGGUAGCGGAGCGUUCCCUAGGCCUGUGAAGCGGUACCUGUGAGGGGCCGUGGAGGUAUGGGAAGUGCGAAUGCUGACAUGAGUAACGACAAAGAGUGUGAAAGACACUCUCGCCGAAAGUCCAAGGGUUCCUGCGUAAAGUUAAUCUGCGCAGGGUUAGCCGGCCCCUAAGGCGAGGCCGAAAGGCGUAGUCGAUGGGAACGGGGCGAACAUUCCCCGGCCAGCGGAUGGUGACGGAUGCCGUGUAUCGUUUGACCUUAUCGGAUUGGUCAGGCGGUGAAGGGGUCCCAGGAAAUAGCCUCCGCGUAAGACCGUACCCGAAACCGACACAGGUGGACUGGUAGAGUAUACCAAGGCGCUUGAGAGAACGAUGCUGAAGGAACUCGGCAAUUUGCCUCCGUAACUUCGGGAUAAGGAGGCCUCUGUCUUGGGCAACCAGGGCAGAGGGGCACAGACCAGGGGGUGGCGACUGUUUAUCUAAAACACAGGGCUCUGCGAAGUCUGUAAGACGACGUAUAGGGCCUGACGCCUGCCCGGUGCCGGAAGGUUAAGAGGAGAGGUGAGAGCUUUGAAUCGAAGCCCCGGUAAACGGCGGCCGUAACUAUAACGGUCCUAAGGUAGCGAAAUUCCUUGUCGGGUAAGUUCCGACCUGCACGAAUGGCGUAACGAUCUCCCCGCUGUCUCCAGCAUCGGCUCAGUGAAAUUGAAUUCCCCGUGAAGAUGCGGGGUUCCUGCGGUCAGACGGAAAGACCCCGUGCACCUUUACUGUAGCUUUGCGCUGGCCUUCGUGUCGGCAUGUGUAGGAUAGGUGGUAGGCUUUGAAGCGGGGGCGUCAGCCUUCGUGGAGCCAUCCUUGAAAUACCACCCUUGGCGAUAUGGUGGUCUAACCGCGACCCUUGAUCGGGGUCCGGGACCGCGCAUGGCAGGCAGUUUGACUGGGCGUCGCCUCCC
rnacentral:rRNA from 1 species